UGAGUUUAUUUAUAAGUAUUUUUAUUUACCUAUAUACAUAUAUUAUUUAUUUAUUUAGCUAUUUAUUUAUUUAUUUAUUAUUAUUAAUUUGUGGGUGAUCCUAUCCCUGACCAACUGCUGCAGUUGGAACUACGACCAAUUUGGAUGUAGUUCCAACUGCAGCAUUUGGGCCUUCUUGUGCAGUUGAAACUGCAGCAGCUGAACUCAACUACACUAAACCAAACAAAGGAAUUGUGGCUGCACGCAUUUGCAACUGCACUGCAGUUGCAAAUACGUACAACCAAACAGCCCCUAAGUGGAAUAGUUCAAAUUGCACACUUGGAAUCACAUGUCUCAAGUUGCAUGCUAUGCAAAUCAAACAUGGCAUGCAAACUAACACAUAACAUACUCCAAAGAAGGGAAAACAACCAAUCAAAAGUGCUGCUACAGGAACCCUCAAAGGUCCCCUCAAAGACCGCUGAUGCGCUGGCAAUUCCAUAUAACAUAUACUGAUCAGUUCAGGCACGCAACCUGAGGCAUCGCCAGUACAUCAGCGGCACUUGAGGAGGCCAUAGAAGGGUACCCAAAGCAUCACUCAUUAAAAAAAAUUCCUGCUUUCCAAGAAGAAGUAGACCCUUUCAAUCACCUACAAUAACAGGAGUAAUGCUAUGUCCACUCCCGUUUACUCAAAAAGUAAACGAAUUAGACUAAUAAAAUUAGUACGACUAAAAGUUUAGUGUGAUGUACCCAUUGUACAGCCCACACAGAUCCCCAAAUCGACCAAUUCAGCAAACCAUCCUAUUUACUCGCAAGUAAACAGAAGCGAGCAAAGCAUUUCCCCCACAAUACAUAACCUAAUACCCUAGAAGCUGUAAAUUUACAUAUCUCAACUCCACAUAGGAAGAAUACCAUCAAAAUGUAAAAUCUCUCUUAUCUAAGGGCUACAGAGGUUGAGAAAAGAGGAGAAAGAAAGGCCUAAAGCAAAAGCAAUGGAGAACAGAGAGAUAUCUCCUCUAUGGCUUCCAUUCCUCUUCACACUACUUAUAACAAAGUUCCUGAAAUAGCUAAUUAUACCAAGCAAACCUUUCCAAAAAAAGCAAAAACAAGCUUUGAGGAAGGUUAGGAAAACAACCCAGCAAGAUAAUCCUGCCCUUCUUCUUGUUCUCUUCCUGCUCUUCUUCCAACUCCAUGGAUGGCCUCUUCCUGCUAUACUUCCAACUCCCUUAAUAGAAAGUAAUGGGCUGGUUUUAAUAAGCUGGGUUAAAGAAGCAGGUGGUAUUUAUUAUACUGUUUUGUGAAACCGAUUGCUCAAACUGCACUGCUUGCUAGUCCCUGAACUUUUAGUAAAUUUAACUCCCACCCUAAAUUUUUUUUUAUCUUAAUACUUUUACCUUUUAAACUUUCAAAUUUUUAAUUUCGCCACUCUACAUAUUAUGAACAUAUAUUGCUCACUUAAAAAAUUUAUCUAUACUGAUAUGCUAAAUUUUUACUAUUUUUUUUUUCUUAUAACACUAACUGAUCUAUUUAUGUCUUAUAUUUCAACAUGUCAAUAAGUUAUUAUAGAAUGUUUAAAUAUACACCAUAUUAUUAUAUUUACCAUUAAAAAAGUGAUUGUCUAUAUCUAGUGCAUCUCUAUAUUUAUGUUCAAUAUAUUUGAUGAACCUUUAUUUCAAUUUAAAUAUAAGCUAAUUUGCAAAAAAAUAUAUAUGUUUGAAUAUUAGAUAGUUAUAUUACAAUAAUCAUGUUGCCUGUAUACGCAGAUAAACCAAAUACAAGUCAUUACUUUUUCUUUAUAGCAAAUAAGAAAAGAAAGGCAAAAAGAAAAUGAAAGAAUCUCUAAGAUAUAGGCUAUUUUCAAAAUGGCCCCUAUAACCUUAAUUUUUUUUUGACUAAAAUCUCCUUAUUUUUUAAUCUUUCGCAAUUAAAUAAUUCUUAUCCAAUAUAUUUUUAUAGAUAUAAAUAAUUACCAAUUGGAACAUUAAAUUAAGGGGUUUAUUUCAAAAUGACAUAUAAGCUAUAGGUGAGAUGGUCUAUAUAUUAUCUAAAAAGAAACAAUUGAAUGUUCAAAAAUCUCAUAAUGUUUUAAUUAAAACCAUGGGUAGUUGGGUACCAAAAUAAAAUCGUUACCAAGGUUGGGGCUAAAAGUGCAAUUUUCCCAUGAAACCACUCAGACCGCCCCUGGUUUUUCUCUGCACCAAUUGUCGGCUGUUAGUGCGGCAAGGCAGCGGAUUCCCUGCCACGGAAAUAAUUUCUCCAGCAUCAAUAAAGCGUAAAACUUAGUUAGUUAAUUCGCGUUUAAUUCGCGAAUUAUUCUCAACUUUUUAGAAAAUCGAAUUAAACGUUGGCAUCCGAAUUUUUUCAAAACAUGCGUAAAAAAAUAUAUUUUUUUCAGCAAUAAUAAUCAUCCGCGAAUCAUUCGUGAUUCGCGAAUGAUUCGUCCAAAGAAACGGCGGUCGCGGACUCGCAGCCGCGUCGUCACCGCCAUCGUCGGCGUCCUCCUCCUCCAUCGCUUUCGUCGCGGAACUUUGGAUCACUGUAAAAUUUCUCGAAAAAAAAAAUUUUCGCUAAAAUUUUUUUUUCCAAACAAUAAGUUGUCCCUCAAAUUUUUUUUUAAAAAAUUAUUUUAUAAAUUUUGAAAAAAAAAUCGAGUUUGUGACUUGAGACUUGAGAGCAAGCGGUAGAAAUGGCGCCGGGUUUGGGAAGAAGAAGAAGGGAAAUCGGGGCUUUCGAGAACAGGAUGAGGCGGGGUCCACGAGGCCACUUUGGUCUCGUGGACCGCAUGAGAGGGAGGUCCGUUGUCAUUAACUUUAUAUAUAUAUAUAUAUAUAUAUAUAUAUUAAAUUUUAUUUAUAAAUAUAUAUUUAUUUAUUAUAUAUAGUAUUCUAUUUUUAUAUAAAAAUAUUAUUAUAUAAUAUUUUAUUUAUAAUGAUAAUAUAGUUUGCUAUUCUUUUUACUUAAUUAGCUUAAUUUUGUAGUUUUUUAUUCUUAUAUUCUUAAGAAAUAUGAGUAUUUAUACUAAUAGAAUAAAUCUUGAGAAAAAAUAAUUUUAAUUUAAUAGCCGAAUUUUUGAUCCCGAAUUUUUAAUUGAAGAACGUAUAAUAUCCGUAUAAAUCACGUAUCCGAAUAAUUACUGAAUCCGUUUUUUAGCCGUAUUUUUCAACGAAUUUAAAAAUUAAAAGACGAAUUUUAUCCGAAUUAUAUCCGUACCGAAUUUUUGCCGAAUCCGAAUUAACUAACUAUGGCGUAAACUUCUAUGUAUUCAGGAUAUUUUUUAUAAAUAAUUAAUAAUAUUUAUGUAAUUAUCUCUUACAAAUAAUAUUACACUCUGUUUGAUUCGGAGGUAAGAGGGGAUAACCCUUUAUACCCUUUAUAUUCAAAUUUAUAUUCAAACGCUAUUUUUCGUAUCCGACCAUUUCGAUAUAAGUCUAAAAUUACUAUUUCACCUUUAUUCUUAAAACAAUCGAAAACAAGAUUAAUUAAUCUAAUUAAUAUUAAAUUAUUAUUUCUGAAUAACUGGUUGAAAGUUUAGAACAGCUAUUCCCACACAUACUUUUAUUUUUAAAAUUUAAAAAUUAAAAAGUUAAAAUUUAUAAUUUUAAAAUUUGUAAUUUGUAAUCUCGAAAUUAAAGUUUAUUAAUUUAAAUUCUAAAUUUUAAUUUUAAAUUUUUAAAAUUUUCAAAUUUUCAAAUUUAAAACUUGAUAUUUUAUAUUUUUAAAAUUUAAAUUUGAUCUUAAGUUGAAAGUUUGAAAUUUAAAAUUUAAAAUUUUGAGAUUUUAAAUUUAAAUUUAAAAUCUGAAUAAAUCUAAACAUUUAAAAUUUUAAAUUUUAAAUUUUAAAUUUUAAAUAUUCUUUUUAGUAUACUAUUUUUCAUCCAAACGCAAAAUUGAUCAUAAUUCUUAUUAAUUUAUAUCUGAACUUAUGACUAUUUCUGAAAUAGAUAGUUUUUUCUUAUAUAUAUCCGAAUAAAACGAUACCUUCAAUGUUUUCAGAGCAAGUACUGUUACAUUCCAAUGGUUAAAAAAAACAAAAACUAUGGAGGUUUGAAACGUGCUCUAAUGAAUGUUUUUGAUGGGGCCUUUGAACCAAUAUCUACCACUCCAGAACCAGGAGAAGAGAGUGCAGAAGAGCACUCCCCCGAUGGCAACAGGGGUGUAGUUGAAGUUAUCCUUGGUGAUCGGAUACGCCACGGGCAGCGAGAAGAAGACGGUGAUCAUCGCGACCCAGAGAACUGCAGUCCAGCCGACGGCAGCGCUGUACCGACCGAGAUGGAAGGGGCCGCGGACGAAAGACUUGCGCCCCAGCGUCACCUUGAAGAAGACCGGCAGAGUGUAGGCGAUGUAGGGAACGAUCGUCGAGAUCGACGCCAUCGCCUGGAACGCGACGGAGCUGCCCAGCGACUGCACAAAAGUAUAUGUUGGAGGAAAAGGAUCGACGUGCAUGUUGCAUGUUGCAUGCAUGAGUUUGAUUGUAAUGUGAAGGUCGCAACAGAUGCCACUGCUUAUUAGUACGUGACUACAGAAAAUGUUCAAAACGUAUCUUUGAUUGUAGCUGCAACGCAGGAAAGAAAUUAUAAUUUGACUGUACAAAAAUUAGGGAGCCUGAUAAUUAUAACAAUAAAUUAUUAAUGCUAGCGGGUCAGGUCGUAAUACUUGGUGCCAAAAUCAAAUACCAAAGUGUAGGAGCUAAGUAUUAUGCGGAACAAAAUAUUAUCCACAGAGUUUGGUGGAGCCACUUCUUAAACCCGUAAAAAUCACCUCUAAAAUCUCACGUUAUCUAAUAAUUUUGAUCUAUAUGUAUGAUUGGCGUUGAACUUGACAACAUAGGAACCACCUCUAGAAUCUCAUAUAACUCUAGUCUAUAUGCGUGAUUGGAUUUGACAUUGAUGAAAACGUCGAAGUUCGUAGAAACUAGAAAUCACCUCUGAAAUCUCACGUCUGGCGAGAACGUCUGGGUCUCAACAGAAAGAGGGUCUGUAAUAUCUCAAUAGUUUCACAUCAUAUGAGAAAGAGAUUAUGAAGAGAUAUAUAAGGAUCAUGGGUUCAAGCAUUUUGGGUCGGUGAUUUGAACGUAAUGAGUUAUUAGUGCUAAUGAGUCGGAUCGUUCUGAUUAAAAAGUUCUCGAGAGCUACAUUAUCCAUAAAUUGGCUCCAGUAGAGGAAAGAUUUUCAAAAUUAAGUAAAUGCAAAAAUAUAACUUCUCUCAAGAGUGUUGGCAUAUUUGUACAUAAAAAGAUAAAAUAAAUAUGAUAGAAAUGGGUAUCUGCGCAUAUACUUAUGUGAUUUAUAUGUAGGUGCGUUGUAACAAAGAUAAGAAACAAUAUUUGACUCAGAUAGUAAGAUUAUAACUUCUGAAAUCAAGUAGAAAUGUAUGAAAUAUACGAUUUAAAAGCAAUUUGUGCAUAUAUAGUUGACUUAUUUUUUUAUUUAUUAAAGGGAAAAAAAAAAGAUGAUAUUAAAAGGGUACCGUGAGCGCCAUGCAAAAUGCGAGAACCACAGAUAACCAGACAGCAUUUACAGGGACUUCCUGCUUGUUUACUGAGUACCAGACUGCUGAAAAUGGCAUUGCUCCAUCUCUAGAGAAGGCAUAUGCCAUCCUGCAAUUGAUAAAACCAAUUCAUUUCAAAAUACAAAUAAUCAACAUGCAAUUGCAAAAUCAAUCUAAACAAUAUAAUGCAUCUAAAUCACUCGGAAUUAUCAAGAGGUGCAAAAAUUAAAUAAAUGAAAUAGGAAGAAAAAACCCAAGCACAACCACAACAACACGACAAAAUUAAUUUACGUUGUUCAUCCUUACCAACGUACCGGACUACAUCCACGAGUGUAAAGAGAUUAAAUCCAACUACCAAAUUGAAGGGAUUAUAAGAUUUUGUUAGAGACUAUCCCUCAAUAACAACGGGCAUACAACCAUCCAAAUGUUGGAUGGUGGAAGAAGACCUUCUUGUUACAUCUUCUUUAAAGCACCUCCCAAUUCCGCAAAUUUCGCUCAAAUGCCUCCGAUCAACAUUGAACGCCUUGAAUCAAGGAAGAAAAUCGAAAAAGAGAGCUCCUUCUUCAACCCUCUGUACAUUUCUCUUCUCUAUACUACAAAAAGGAAACCCUUGGGCGCAAAAUGGGAACUCUCCCUAUACUAUAUAUGUUAGGAUUUGGUUAGAUUUGUAGUUGAAUCCUAUUUAGAUAAGAAUUAAUAUUUAAAUCGGUUGAAGAUAAAUUAAGAUUUAAAUAUUAAUUAGAGGAUAAACCUAACUAGAUUAGGAUUAAUAUUUAAAUCUAUUAGAGAUUGAUUAAGAUAGAUUUAGAUAUUAAUUUGAGUAGAAAUCCUAAACAUAUUAGGAUUGGGGUACGUUUUAGUGGAGCCUUAUAAAUAGCUCUUUGUGGGUUUGCUUUUUGAUGUGAGUACGGGAGAGAGAGAGAAAAGGCCUCUUGGGUGCCGUACCAGAGAGAGAAAAAGAGAGAGAGAGAGUUAUUUAAUUAUGCUUUGAGUGCACCUAGUGCACGGGUGCAUGUGAAGGAUUGUCUUCUUUAUGGGUUUAUAGAAGACGAGAGAAGGGUAGAAGAGAUUCAGAAAGAGGGCUCGGAUUGUAGCUACUCUGUGCAGAAGAGGAGUCAGGUGUAAUCUUCUCUUAUUUAAUGAAUCUUAUUUUACCUGCAUAUUUUUCUCUUUUAUGAUUGUAUCAGCUUUUGCUGAGGAGACGGAUUUAUGGUAAAAACCCGAUUGGACGUUUCCGUUGCGGAAUCCCAACAAUCGAUACCGAAUCUACAGCAGUCGGUAUCGGAGCGGGUUGCGGAUUCACGAGAUCCGGUACCGGGGCGAGUACCGGAUUCCCAACAAUAUAUACCCAAUGAGAAUCCCUCUCAUAAUAACUUACUUGGCCAAAUGUGUUAAUGGGUUAGCUAAAGCUCAACUAACUACAAAUAGCCCACCGACUGUCCCUAGCACAAGUGGCAAAGGACUUGGUGGUUGGUACCCGAGGCCUCAAAUUCGAAUCCUAAUUGAUUCACGUUUUCAGCUAAGUUUAUUUCUUAAAAAAAUAAACAAAAUAGGUAGCAUGCUAUCUUUCUCUCAAAAAAAACUACGAAAUAACCUACUACAUAAGUGUUAUUGGACCAAACCUAAAAUAAACUAAACAGGCUAAUAGGUGAAUUUUAUAGCACCAAACCCAACACUUGAGAUUAAAAUUCUAAGUGCAAGCUUAACAUAUGAGAGAUUAAAAUUUAUAGGAAAAUCAAUAUUUUGAAGGAACAUCUAUGCGAAAUAGAUGCAAAAGUACUUAUGUAUGUAAAAGAAAAUUACAAGAAACAUGAGUUAUUUAGGGGCAGUUUGGUUCGCAGCAUUUCGAGUACAUAUAGAUGAUGGCCCAGUUGCUGCAUUUCUGGCUACAUCCAAAUUUGACGCAGUUGGACCAACAAGCACUUAAAAAUCCUAUCCUGGAGGUAACCCUACCUAAUAAAAAGUCUCUCUCUUUUUUAAGGAGGGUAAUAUAAAAAUAAGCUAAAAUAUAGAAAAUCUUCUAUAUAAAUUCAUGUUUUUUUUUCACUUACCCUUUUAGUUUCAAAAAUCUAAAUUUUAUUCCCUCGAAAUUUUAAAUUGAUGCACUUAAUUUUCCCCCAUCAGGUUCCGUCACUGUUCUAUCUAUUUUAUAUAAUUUACAUUGAGAACGUCCUUAAAACAGCAGGAAUUUAUUAAGAACUUAAAAACUUUUCCCUCUAGAGCAAGUAUAAGUAUAAUUUGGUCAUUCGCUCUCUCAGUUAACACCGUAACCCCUAUAAAACAUCUACAAAAUUUAGAGGAAGCAAAAUGUAAGUAUCAAAAUGUCGGGAAGAAAAAGUGAAAAAAUGGAUAUUUACGGGAGAGUUUUCUGUAUGAUGACAACAAUAAGUUCUGCAAAUUGCGGCUUCUAAUUGACAGCAACCAAACAAAAAGAAAAUUAUAGUUGAAGCAUUCUAAACUAGUAAACUAUAAGCUACCCGAUAGAUUAUGUGCAAAUAAAAUUACUAAAAUUUUCAACUGCAUGUAUCUCUAAUUACGUUUUAUUUAAUGAAAAGCGACCUCUACCUGGAGUUGCUUGUGACUAAGCUGACACCACAGAAGAAUAUGGCAACUGCCACCACUCCCAAGCAGACUAUCCCUCCAGCUCCACUUCCAUAUCUUUCCUUGAAUAUGAGGUAGAAGAUUUCAGCAAUUGCAUAGCCUCCAGCAUCAUUGUUGCUAUCCAGAAGAUAUGGUAUGUUGGUCACUGCAAAUGUAAUUGCUAUCAAAUAGGCCCAGCCAAAGAUGGAGGACAGGCUGACUGCAGUUAUUAUCCCAAUUGAUCCACUCCUGUCUGCAUUCUUUGUUUCCUCUGUCUGUUCAUAUAUAUAUAUAUAUAUAUAUAGAGAGAGAGAGAGAGAGAGAGAGAGAGAGAAAAGUUACAGUAAGUUUAUGGCAUCUAUCUUAAUUAAGAUUACAAGUUUAUUUAGUCCUUGAAGCUUGAUACUGGUUUCAAUUUCAUCAUCAUAUUUUCAAUUAAUUGCUGCAGUAAUUGAGUCCUUCAGCAUAAGAACUAAAAUUUUCUAUUAAAUAAUAAUAAUAAUAAUGUUAAUAAUACUUCUAUUGUGACACUCUAAUAGUCUGACAAUGGAGUUCUAAUUGGGAAUAUAUAAGACCUCAGGCCCUAAGUAACAACAACUGGGGUUAAUUAUUUCUCAAAAAAAAAAAAACCAACCGGGAUUAAUUAAGAAUUUUGGGCCUGUUGUUGGCCUCAACGAGCUAUUAUUGCUAGCGGGUCAGGUUCUUAUAUCUAUUAAGGGUUGUUAGGUUAGAUAUAAUUAAAAAUACAGCAAGUUAAAGAUGCAUGCAAUUAAGUUAAAUUAAAAUUACAUGCAUUUUAUUUUAUUGGAUUUAGUAGAAAAUGUUUCAACUAUAAAUAAUAUAUUUGGUUACAUGUAGUUGAGAAAUGCAUUUUCAAAAUUUUAUCAUCUUUUAUAUAUAUGUGGCAGUAGAGAUUUACCUUCAAUAUAGAAAAGAAAAAUAUAUUUUGUUUAGAAAGUGAUUAGGAAGAUAAGGUUACAUUUUGUUUGUAGUUACUCUCUCCAACUGUUACAGUUGAGAUUGUGGCUAAUUUAGGCAUAGUUUCAACCGCUGAAGUUAGCUUUCCUCGUACAAUUCUAACUGCAGCAGUUAAAUUCAAAUGUAUCAAACAAAAUACUAAACUUCAAUCUACGUGUGAUGAUUAAACUGCAAUACGGUUACAACUAUAUACAAUCAAACAGUCCCUUUAAAACAUAUGAUUUAUAAAAAGCAAAAAAGAAAAAGAAGGUAACCAUGCACAUACCAUGUGAGCAGAUGCAUCAUAUCCUGCCAUGGAGUAUUGGCUCAUCAAGAGACCCAAAACAAAUAUGUAGAGCUUGUUAUGUAUCCCCUCACCAUUAUCUGUGUUGAAGUGAGUAAACACAAAUUUGAAACUCGCCUUCUCCGUAGCAACAAUGGGAAUUAGAAUCACAAAUGCAAAAACACCUAUUACAAAACAAAAAAACAUAGUAAUUAUAUAGAUUAAUUUGAAGGUUAAUCCUAAUAUUCUUUAGAUCUGUUUGGACGCUGGAAUAAGUUAUACCACUUUUGAAGUUUACAAUAUAAGGGCUAAUAUUCAUAAUUAAGUAUUUUUCCUUUUUACUCAUGUUUAGACAUACUUUAAUUCAUCUUAGCAACCAAGUAAAAUGGUGUUUAAAAUAGCGAUAAGACACAUGCAGGAUAACAUUUUGUUUGGCUUAUUUUGUUUACUCAAGUUCCAUGGUAGAUGAUGCAAUAGUAACUUAAAUUCUAUGAAGAUUUGGUCUUGUGAUUGCAAACUAAGAUUUUGAAUUUAGCUUUUUAGAAGGUCUCUUCGUUCAUGAUUUGAUAGGAUGUUGUAUUUCAUCUGCAAGACAAUUUAUCUUAUUUGAAUAAAAAUGAUUUGAAGAUCAAAUAUGCUAUGCGCAUUUUUACGCAUUUGAUCAUAUUUUAAAUCUACCAAAUAUUAUAGGCUUCUUGUGAGAAUAAAAGAGAUGCUCCGAACAAGAGGUGCCCUCUUUAAUUUACUUGAGAAGCUUAUAGUAUUUAGUAGAUGCAGAGAGUGCGAUUAAAUGUCUAAUACAACAUAUCAUAUUUGGCCCACGAAGUUAUUUUCUCAAAACAAGAUAAAUCACCACAUAAGUAAAAUAUGCUAGGCUACUAAAUCAUAGCUAUCAAAUUUCUUUAAGAAACAAAAAUCAAACUCCUAACUUUCAGUCACUAGAUAACUUAUCGGAUAUCCAUCCAAACAAGUUAUAGUGUAUAAAUACCACUAAAUAACUUACUCUGACAACUUAAUAUGAUUAUAUUCCAUAAGUUAUUACCAAAUAACUAGUUCCAACAUCCAAAUAGCUGGUAUGACACUCCAAUAGUCCCACAUAGGAUGCAAACAAAAUUUGUGAUUAGGAAUAUAAAAGACCAUAGAGCUUAGUAAUAAUAACUGAGUUUUGAGCAUUUUGGGCCAGUAGUUUUAGUCCAAUGAGUUAGUAUUGCCAGAUGGUAGGAUUGUUAAAUUUGGCAUCAAAAUUGAUUCAACGGUCGGAAAUAUGAAGUGGAUCUCACAUCGCCUGAUAAUCUUAAAUUAUAUAUGUCAUUGUGGUGAUCUUGGGCAAUGUGUGUGAUUGAACUAACAAAAGCGUUAGGACCUAAACGUUCUGUGAUAUCUCAAUAGUCUCACAGAUAUUAUCAUUAAUUAUUAUUACUAACGGAUCGAAUUGUUACAGAUAGAUUGAAAACUAUAAAAAAACACAUGCAUUCUCAUGUUUUAGGGCUCACCUAACAUAUUCCAGAGGGCACCAAUUUGGCCAAAGAUUGACAGCCAUGUUACAGGAAGGCUAUUAAUCAUGCCAUGCAACAACAAGAUGCCACCAUGGAACCCUAGCACCAUGUAUUUAGAUGCCAAGUACCCUCCACCAUUGGCUCCUCCUGUGCUCAGUAGAAUGAUAACUUGGAGUAGCUGGGCUAGAGAGAAGUCCACACUUGUAGUACCAGCCCACUAAAACAAUAAAAAAUAAAAAGUAAAAAAAAAAAAAAAAAGAAAGUAAAGAAGACCUCCUCAACUAUGAGCCAUUUCAAAAUGCCCCUAGGUAACUUUAGGGCUCUGUUUAGAUGUCGAAAUAAGUUAUUUUUAGAUUCCGUGUAAGAAGUUUUUAAUAUGAUUAUAAGUAAGGAGUUCGAUAUUUGCUCUUUCAAAAGUUUUACUAUUCAUAAUUUCGUACGAUAUCAUAAUUCAUCUACGACAUGAUUUAUCUAAUUCAAAAAAAUAAUUUAAAGGCCGAAAAUAUAUCCAAUUCUAAACAUUCGAUUACAUUCCUUAUCAAUCAAAUUUACAAAUUUCUAAAUAAAUUAUAUUCAUGCAAUUUUGGCCAAAUAAGUGAUUUUAUUAAAUUUAAUAACUUUAAUCACUCUUUAAACUUAGCAAACUAGGAUGAUCAAAUAAAAAUAAGGGAAUGUCGGGAAAAAGAAAUUAAGGAAAUUUAAUUUUCUUUUGUUGGCACCCCUUUAAAUUUUAAAUUUUCAAAUCAAGUGAUUACACAAUAAAAUCAGGGGUUUUAUUGCACUCAUCAAGGAUUGCAUUGAAUUUAACAUGUUUAAUCACUUUUUAAAAAAUAAAUCUGAAAUAUUUAAUAGCUGAUAGUUAAUAAAUAGAGCCAGCAAACUUAAACAAAAUUUUUAACUUAACUAAUUAAGUAGCAUAAUUCAAAUUAAACAAAAUUAAAAAUUUGAGGGGCCCAUUUGAAAAUCGCCUUUAGGAGAGGGAUGAAAUUGACAAUACCUGUCCAACAAUGUUAAACCUGCAUGUAUAAAAUAUUGAUAGUUAAAAUUUACAUUCUCUUGGACUUGAAAAUACAAAGAAUUAAACAUCCUUCUUAAAAUUCUGAAUUAAUUCAAGGGAAAAAUAGAAGAAGAUUUUAUUUUCUUUACAUGGAAGUCCAGGAAAAAAUAUAAAAUUUCAUCUUGAAAAUAAGAGAGCAUUUGAAACUUAUAAAAAAUAAAUUUCGUAAUUUUGUUUGAAAUUAUAAUAAAGCUCAUCAAAAGGGUAUAAAAUGAACGAUCAAAAUCGAAUGAUCUCAUAAAAGUAGGGGAUCAGAUUCUUCAAUUUAAAAUCAAAAUUAUUGAUCUUUAUCUAAAUAGUGAAUAUAAUUUUCUAUUGAAAAUUCAACGGAUUUCGAUUCUUUUCGUAUGGCCUUUAAAUAUUUUUAAUUUUGAUAUAUUUUGAUCGUAAAAUAUAUGACGUCGAAAAAUUAUAAAAUUUGAGUUCUAGAUUUUUAAAUACUCUAAAUCAUGUGAAACGAUAUAAACCGUUGAUUCGCAAGAUCUAAAAUCGAAAACAAAUUAUAAAUACAAAAGCGUACUCCUAAAAAUAUAGUAACCGAAUUAUAUAUAAAUUAUACAAGGAAUUAAAAAAGAUAUUGUGCAAAGCGCAAAAUCGUAAUUGAGACACUAUAUAUACUUGUAAGGUGCUCAUAAAUGUUUGGUAUGUUUAGCGAGAAAAUGAUUAGUUGGCAUUGUGUUGAAUAGCUCUAUCAAACAGCACUACCGCAAAAACUCAUUCUGGACAAACAGUUUGUCUCGAUAAGAAGUGUAACAAACCAGCCGGUCAUCCAGGAGGCGAGAGGAGCCCAGUCCUCGCCGGUGAGCCGGGCGCUCCAGUAGUACAGCCCGCCCGACGUCGGGUACGCGGAGCAAAUCUCCGCCAUCGCCAGCGCGAUGCACCCGUUCAUCGCCGUCACCACCACCCACCCGAGCGUCGCCGACGCGGGCCCGCCGUACCGCAGCCCGGUGUUGUACGUGGUCGUCACGCCGGUCAGCACCGAUAUGAUCGCGAACGAGAACGCGAAGUUCGACACCACCCUACGCCGAUCACGCGGAAUAGGAAGCAACUUCAAUGCAUGAAAGGCUUGCAAAAAUGAUAGAAAUGAUCAAAGGAAUUGAAAUUGCGCGAUCGGAUUACGAGAGGCCGCGCUUCAGCUCCUGCUUGUAGCCCAGCUCGCGGAGCCGGGCGCGGUCCGGAUCAUCGGCACCCGAAUUUCUCUCAUUGCCAUUUGCUUCAUGGCCUUCUGGUGUAGCCAUUUCUACAUGUGGGAAUGAGAAGAUACUCCCAGAUUCCCACUCUUCACUUUCCACAACUGCUACAUAUAUAUAAUGCCAAGUACAAAGUCUACAUAACAAAGGAUCCGAAUCCAAAACCGAACCCGCCAUAUAAAUUUGACCCGUGUCCGACCAGAAACCGAACAUGCGAGGUUUUCAAUUGGAUUCUGACGCAGACCUAAACCGCUUUGAGAGAAAAGAAGCAUAAGGACAAAAAGAGAGGAAUACACGAAGAACUAAUUAAUUCUUCGAAAAAACCAAAAUAAUAUUUGUAAGAAAAAAUCUUUGUAAAAAACCAAUUCUUUGUAAAAAUAACCUAAAAAUAUAAAAACAGAGGCCGAAACAAUUAAAUUUUGAUCCCAAACUCGGCCAAAACUGCUUUGCUGUUUGACACAUAAACCUCAAAAAGUGUUUCCUAAAUUAGAGUUGCAUGUUGAAGUCGGAUGCUGGAGCGAAAAGUUAUAGCCAUUUAAAGAUUGCUCUUUACGGAAAUGGGCCGAAUUUUUUGCUCGGCUUGAUUGAGUUGUAUUUUUUUAUAAACUCUAACGCUGAAUUGACUGUAUCAGUUUCCAUCAGAGUUUUAGUAAUCGACUACGCUGGGAUAGAAAACAAGCCCAAUGGACAUUUGAAUCUGAUGAGAUAUUACUGGAUCCGAUUUGGGGUAAUUGGUUUUGAAACCCUGCGAUUCGGGUUGCGUUUUGCCGGGUUAUCGGAUCCUUUGCCACCACCUCUAAGUAACAGGAUUUCACAGGAUUGUCUCUAUUAAUGUAGUUUAGCCAUUUGUUGAACAAUUGUGGGUUGCCACAUGCCACAAACUGAGUCAAAUUAAAUUAGCUCAUUAUAUUUGUGGCUUUUCUACAUAAGAGUCAAAGAUUCUAGUGGAAAUUUCAUUUUGUCUCACUCCUUUGACUGUUCAAAUUUGGUGGGAUUGAUGUGUCCAAAAUAUUGUGUCUAAAAUAGUGUAAACUAUUUCUCUCAUGGUGGAAGAGGUACCAUUAAUAAAUGCUCUGUUUGACCCAGUUUCAAAGUAUCUUACUAUUAUCUAAAUAUUUGAUAAAUUAUUAUAAUAUCUGAUUCGAAUUUCAAAAGUGUUACAAUUAACUCCUACAAUCUAGCUAAUUUAAUUGACGUAAAAGUAAUGUAUCCCCUUAAUUAUUAUCACUUCAUCGAUUACAACACUAAUAAUCUAUUAAUAUUUAACUAAUUAAAUUAUAUUGUAAAAUUUGAUUAUAAUAAUUUUAAAUAGUGAGUCAAAAAUUAUAAUUAAUUUCACUUGACUCGCUGUUUGAGGACCAAACAUGUGAUUCACUCUUGAAUAUUUUAUUCGAUUUAGUAAUUGAUGCCACAUCAUGCAUAUCCAUCAUAGAAUAAUAUUUUUGGUGGAAAGUCAUCUAUUUUUAUUAGGAAAAUGCUAAUGUACGCGCCCUUCGGGUGUACAAAUUACACCCCACCCAUUCAAUAGGUGGGGUGAUGUCAUGUGAGUGCUGCCGCACAGCCCCUUAUUUAUGUGGGAGCCCUUAAGUGGACAUCACCUCACCUAUUUGAUGGAUAAGAUGUAAAUCUUACACCCAUGAUGGGAUGUAGCUGUAGCAUUGCCUAUUUGAUUAUGGGGGCAACUUCAAAUUUACUCUGUGCAACUUCAAAAUAUCAUCAAUACCCCCUCAGAACGUACAAGCAUAUUAUCCAUCCAAUGGGUGGGAUGAUGUCAUGUGACUGCUGCCGCACAGCUCCUUAUUUAUGUGGGAGCCCUUGAGUGGACAUCACCCCACCCAUUGAAUAGAUGAGAUGUAGAUCUUACACCCACCCAUGAUGGGAUGUAGCUGUAGCAUUGCCCAUUUUAUUAUUGGGGCAACUUCAACUUUACUCUGUGUAACUUCAAAAUAUCAUCAAUACCCCCUCUGAACGUACAAGUAUAUCACCCACGCCCCUAAAGCUAUCACCAAUACUCCUAAAUCCUAAGCCCUCUUAUGCAUACGAAGGCACUCUUAAUAUUUCAUAAUUUAGAGGGAGAUUUAUAAAAUUACAACUUUCGGGGAGGGCAUGGAACAAACUACCCUUUUUUUUCUUUUUUCUUUUUUAACUUACCAACUAGUCCAAUAAAUUGUAGCACAAGUAAAAAAAGAUGUAAAAUGUCAUCUCUCAAUUAAAUAAAGCAGAAACACCCCACUAGUAAAGAAAAAUCUGAAAAAGGCCAGAUUGUGACUUAGUCCAUUGGUCGGGAAACAACAAAUAGAUUGAAAAAAUAGUGAAAGAAAUAAAGCAUGCAAACAAUUUAUGUGAUCAUCUUUAUUUUUUUUAGGGUAAUCGUCCGAGAGCAAAAAAUUAUUUAAAUAAUAUGAGGCGAUACAAAAUUAAAAAAAAACUCUCAAAAUAAGACGACACAGUAUAUUUUUUUUAUUAGACAGACCCUAAUUGACUAGUUGACCAACUUGCAUAGUAUUUCUGGAGAAGCAAGAAUUAUAUCUAAAAGAAAAGACGUAACAUUCGUCCACGAAAGACUAAAGCGCUUUGAGCUUCAUUCUAGCAUCCCAAGAUGCGGUUCACCUAUUUGUCUAUGUCAAUAUGUUGCUGAGACUAGAUUUUUUUUUCUAAUUAUAAAAAAAUAUAUUAUCAUUUUUAGAAUAUUUUAUUUACUUACUAAUAAAGUAAAAUAUGGUUCAAAUACAUAAAUAUUCAUCUUUUAGAAUUUAUGGAGUUAAAAAACAUUGGCCGUUUUAUUCUAUCUUCUCUUUCUUUUCCUUCUUACCUCUCUCUAUCUUUUUAACAUCUCUCUUCAGAAAAUUUGAUCUACCCAAAAUAAUUGCUUAUUUAAGAUAUUUAAUAUGCGCUUUAAACUUCAAAAACAUUUUAUUUAUCCUUGGGGAACCAAAAUAUCCUUAUAAUUUUAAAAAAUUUCUUCAAAUAUCCCUAUUUUCCCUUAUAUUAAUGAGAUUGGAUUUUAGAAAGGCAUUUUGAUAAUUUAGGGUAAAUUUGAAAUUUUUGAAUAGUAGUAAAAGGUAAAUACAAAAGCCCUAAAAUAAGAAGUGCCAUAGAAUCAUUUCUAACAAUACAGAAUCUGAAUUACCGACCAACACGGUUAAAUAUGACCUCCAACACUUGAUCUUACAAAAAACCAAAUUAGAGAUUUCUCGACGUCAUUUAUCGAGUACUCAACUGGUCUCGAAACUGAUAGUUUAAAUUGGAAAAGAAAAGAUGUAUUUGGAAAGAUCUGUUUAAUGAAUUCGAUCAUCAAUUCGAAUAUAUAUCAUGACUGAAAAUGAUGCCAAGGUAAGAAGCCUCUUUCUAGUUUUACUCAAAUAAUGUUGAUUUGUCAGCAACUAGUUGUCAUGCCAGGGUUCAGACAAGAAGAGUGGAUCCAAUUACCACUGCUGACCUGAAAAGCAUAAGUUUUGGGUGCUUCUCUUGUUAGCUUAGUACAGCCAAAAAAUGAUCUUUCUCCUGAUAGUGACUAUAAUAAUCGCGACUCAAAAUGCAAAAACACUUAUUAACAUGGAUAACAACGACGCAGUUUCAGGAAUUUUUUGGAAAACACUACUUCCAAUGUAACACCUGUACUAUAACACCUGUACUAUAGAGAAUUGGCAUCAGAUGAAUCAAAUAUUACCACACAUUGUAAAACUCGUUAUCAACGUACUUAAUACGAUCAUCUACUUUCAAAUUACUAAGAUAUUCGUAAUCUGAAUCUCAGCAACAGUUCACCAGGUUCAAAAGGAGUAUAAACAGACAAUAAGUAGUGUAAACAAUACAACGAAUCGGAAGAGUAGACACAAAAUCAUUGAACAAAAACUCUUAUCAGAUGCGUUGCUUUCGGACACGACCUUUUCUACAGUUAUAUAUGCCACUCUGUGGCUCUAUAAUUUACAUUCGGGUGCAGUAAUGUUCUUAAUCUGAACCCAAGCAACAAUCAAUUAGACUCAGACAUAGUCAGAACAGUACAACUAGCACAAAAGGUACAAUGAAUAGUAUAAACAGUAUGAUGAAUAGUGCGAGGAAAGAAUUGGUCAAGCCUAAUAAAACAAUCUCUAUUAGACGCAUCAUUUUCAGACGCACCUCUUCCCACCAUUAGAUAUCACUUAACGAAGCUUUAAGAUCUGAGUAAAAUAAAAUUCAACGGUAGAAAAAAAUAUGUUUAAAAAAGAUGCAUCUGAUAAAAAAAUUUUCCCUAAAAGCAAAGAGAUUCUGAGCUUUCUGACUAUCCCUUCUCCUGGAUUCUUUCAAGGAAGAAGAUAGAAUCAUACAAUUUUCAUUAGAAAUAAUAGAUAAUAAAUACUCAGUCUAAAGUGGCUGCUUGAUUUUUACAGUAAAUUUAGACAGCACAAAAUUAUGAAGAGUUGAACACUAGAAUGAGACUAGCAAAUGACAAUUUGUCCUAUGAGUUCUUUUCUUGCAUACUGGGCCCCACAAUCGGUCAAAAGACAUAGUAGCCCCCUCAAAUCUUGAUAUUUGCACAAUAAUCUCUAAAAACAUCUCUCUGGUUUAAAUAUGUUGUUCUAGAAGAUGCGAGACUUCAAAAGGAAAUCAAUAUACCCAGGAGCUGGCCAAAAGGUCAGGGGUGCGAGCCUCACAUGCGCUUUAACUAGCGGCUCGUCUCCCUGUCCUCAGGUUUAAUAUGCUCAGUCUGUACUAAAGUUCAGGGAAAAAAGAAAAAUUCAAACAGGUCAAUAUUUCCUUCUUGAGCAAUUGAAAAUUAAGCAUUCAUCGUUCUUCAAUGCAUAGUGCCAGGAAAUGGCAAUUGCAGAAACUAUACCUUUGGAAUUUCAAAGAAAUACAAUACAGAAUGGUCGGCAUACACCUCUUACCUUGCUCACGGUCUCAAACUGCAAGUUUAAUAUGUUAUUUUCAGACACACUCUUUCCUCUUUAAAGCCAAUUAGACUCGGAAAUAGUAGAAACAGUACGACUAGCAUAAAACGUUCACUGAAUAAUACAAUCAAUAUGAUGAAUAGGAAGAGAAAAGAAUUAGCGAAGCCUAAGAAAACAACCUCUAUCAGACGCGUCAUUUUCAGACGCACCCCUCCCUACCGUUGGAUAUCACUUUACGAAACUUUAUGAUCUGAGCAAAGUAAUAUCCAACGGUAGAAAAGGGUGUGUCUGAAAUAGACGCAUCUAGUAAAAGUUCUCCCCAAAGUUUAAGAGAUUCAGAGUGUUCUGACUUUGUCUUCUCCUUGAUUCAAUCUUCUCCUUGAUUCUUCCAAGGUAGAAGAUAGAAUCGCACCAUUUUAAUUAGAAAUGAUAGAUAAUCUAAAGUGGAUGCUUGAAUUUUGCAAUAAAUUAAUCAACAUAAUAAGCCUAUGAAUGGUCAACACUGGAAUGAGAGUAGCAAAUAACAAAUGUACGAUGGGUCUUUUGCAAACUAGUUUCUAUAAAUUCGAGCAAUGCUAUACAUACACCCCAAAACACCCCAAAAGAGGUGUAUGAUAUACACUCAACCCAUCCUAAGAUGAAAAUUUUUUUCCUGGUCACAUUGAUAUGACUAGUGAAACCCAUCCCAUCCUAGAUGAGUGGGACGUAUAUCAUACACCCCUUUUGGAGGUGCACACUAGCUUUUUCCAUGUAAUAUCUAUUUUUUAAUAUAUUAGCCCCUCGCAUCAUGUUAUUUGCGUGAUAAUCCCUAAAAACAUCGCUGCUUGCACAUAUUUGUCCUUACCAUUAUUAGUUUUCAACAUCCAACCAUUUUGAAGGGCAAAAAUAAUUUUGACAAAGUACUACACCUUGGGUUUGGUAAGAGUCACAUCUAGAAUCUCAUAUCGUCUGAUAAUUUUGGUCUGUGUGUGGGUGAUCAGGUUUAGACCUGACGAGGACGUCAGGGUCUAAAUAGGGAGUAUGUAAGACCCCAAUAGUCCCACAUCGGAUGGAAAAGAUUGUGAUUGAAAAUAUAGGGUUUAGGGUUUAGAUUUAAGCAUUUUGGGCCGAUAGCUCGGGUCCAAUAAGUUAUUAUUGCUAGCAGAUCAGGUCGUUACACCUAGAGAAACCACUUAAAACACAACUAACAAAACUGCUAAUCACCACAUUAACUAAUAAAUCCUGAAACACAUUUGCUCAUUAUAAAUGCUUAAAUAAUGAUUCAUUUCUAAGCUGACUACAAAAAUCACAAUAACCAACAAAUCCAAGUAACACUACUAUCUGUUACAAUUUAAUAGGUCACUUAGAUUCAACACCAUCACAAGAGUGCACACUGUUUAUAAAAAUUUUGUAAGUUUCACACUCUGAAAACCUCUUUCCCAAAGGUAAGUGUCGUAAAGUAUCUCUACCAAAUAUGCUAACAAUAAGAACAACGUCGCAUCAUAGAAACUAACCGUGAGAUAUUAUAAUAUUCAAUUUGAUAAAGAGUAUGUUCCAUUUAACCGCAAUUUUGGCCUGACUUGUAGAACAAAUUCUCUAACUGAGAUGCCAAAGCUAGAUUUGAGCUUAGAGCUUCUGUUAUGACCAAAAGGUUGAAAUUAGCCAUUACACUAAAGAGAAUAUUUUAGGGAAUCUACACUAAAGAGAACAUUAAAAGGCCAUCCAUCUACCCUUCCUUUUCAAUCCAGACCAUCAAACUAUGUUUUCGAGUAAAUUACGAAAAGUAUGACUUAGUUUCGAUGGCUUGAAUUGAGAGGACAAGACAGAUGAACAACAUCAACAAGAUAGAUGAACAACAUCCAAACAACCCCCCCACCCCCCAUGUACGAUAUUGUAAAGCACAAGCACAACAAUGAUAAUUAUGAUGACCAACUACUCAUUUCGCAAAUCAUAAUUGUGUUCAUACUUUUACGCUAGCAUUGAGCUUACAAGCAAACACAGCCUUGAAAUUCAACAAAUUGAAAAGCAUCUUUGAACGUUUAUAUACAAACUGUGUGUCCAAAAACGAGAUCUGCAAACAAGCACGUAAUUUGUUGCAGUUGUUAAGAAUACAUGAGCACAAACAAGAAAGGAAGAGCAAUCCUUCGAUAAUUUUCUGAAAGAAUUUCAUCAAGUUGUUGCCUUCCACUCCUGAGAUCAUAAUCUUUGCCAAUACAGCAUAAAAAAGUUGUAACUAGGUAGAAAAAUCAAGAAAAUCAUAUACCUGCUGACACAUAUGAGAGAAGUAAUUAUCAUAUCAUUUUUGCACUCAUGGACGAAGCUAUGUGGAGGCUUAAGGUGGCCAUGGCCCCCCUCAACUUUUCAAUAUUUGCUUAAUGGUCCUUCAAAGUUUUUUUUUUGGUGUACCAUGGAUAGAUUUGGCCCCCUUAGUUUUUCAAUAUUUACUUAAUAGCAUGGUGCCUACAUAACUCUCUCUCUCUUUCUCCUAAUCGAUAUACUUUUUUUAUGGAUGAAAAUAUAUUAAAAUCUUCUUGCUUAUAGAGUCUUUUGUAAUAUAUUUCUUUANUACUCUAAAAAUUUUAUUUAAUAAUUUUUUAAUAAAAAUUUUUUAAUUAGAAAAAAUUUUGUUUAUUAUUUAUUACUAAAGUUUUUAUUUAAAUAUAUUUUGGCCCCCCUCAAAUUGAAUCCUAGCUUCGUCCCUGUUUGCACUGAAAUGCUUUGUGCUGUAUACUAUGCAUAUAUUGAAGGCUUUGUUGAAAGACCAUGCCCCUAACAAAUCCAGUGAAGUGACCAACAUAGACCAGCUGAGAAUGCUGUUGUCGGAACCAUUUGAAACACUUUGUUCCAUAUACAUAAAAACAACUUAAAGUUUAGGGGAUAUAUAUAUAUAUAUAUAUUUCAAUUUUAGCUAAAACAACUAGAACUCUCUAAUGAUGACACACAUUAUUAGAUAGUAGAAACCACUAUAAAAAAUAAAAUUACAAAUUCCUAAUUGUUAGAACAUUUGCUAUGAAUACUUUCCUGCAUGCGAGACAGCGAGAGGUUUAAAAUUCGAGUAUUAUUGAUGUUAUAGUGCAAUACGCGCCUUAUAAUGGUGUAAGACCCAAGUGAACUAUAAACAACUAACUAUUGGCGGAUCCAUUAAGUAAACAUAUCCAAAAGCAACACAUCCACUGUUAAAGCCUGCCAUAAUGAACACAAAAACUGCAUGGACUUAGUAUCACUUUGCAUUUUCAAGGCUUACUACAAGCCCAACAUUAACAACAAGAGCUUGAUGCUGCACAACUGGAUGACGAGAAGUAGUGGACACAUGACAGCUCGCAAGGGAAAAUGUGUACCUACCAACUAUGCUUCUUACAAAGAAAAAGUAAUAAUAAUCAUCUGAGAGUAAAUAGGAGGGAGACCAGUCUAAUUGGAACAGCUUGACCACAAUGCAACACUCUUCAAAGUGGGAAAGCCUCUUAUCUAGAGCUCCGAUCCAUCAUAAAAGUCAAGCAACAAUGUUACCUGUACACCCAAAAAGUGUCUUUUCCUCAAUCACAUGCAUAUAUCAGGAACAACGUUACCUGUACACCCAAAAAGUGGGUGUACAUCUUACACCUCUCAAUCCAACGGUUUAAACAACAUCUUCUAGAUUUUUAACUAAAAAAAUAUUGAUAAGACAUGUGAAAUAUCGGCCCUUAGAUAAAAAGGUGUAAGAUUUACAUCCACUCUGUGGGCGUACAGGUAACAUUGCUCUUUUAUAAAUUAUAUUAUGAUCAAACAAGCAUAGAAGACGAAUGUCUCUAGCCUGAGAAUAGAUCUGAAAGCUCCAUUCCGACCUGCUAUAAUAUCAAAUCCAGAAGCUAAUGCUUAUAUGUCACUAUUCAAAAUAGUCCAUUAACCUAAAACAACUUCAAGCAUCUAAAGGCUGUUGGGUUAAAAUCCAAGUAGUUGUCCCAUAGCACCUUACCUUAUUCAAAUCCAAAUCCAUUGGGGAUCCAAUGCCAAUAAAGCCUGCUGACACCCAUCUCCACAUCUAAGGAACAAUGUUGAACUAUAGCUUGAACUCUAGGAUGACGUAACCUGGCCUUCUAUUCAUAAAAUCCCUAUGUUGAAACCCCUUAUGCAAGGAACAAUUAAAGCAAACAAUUGAGAAAAAAUCACAUAAUCGAGAGAAGCAAAUAGUCCUCUAGUUGGCUACAAUAUCACACUAUCUCAAUAUUGAGCUAUAUUCACAAUACCUAAUACUACAGGAAGAGGGAAACAAAGGGAAAUAACCUAACACAAAUUUCCUACCAAGUCUUGGCAGGAAAUAUUUUAGAUACUUUCUCUUCGGCCUCAUUCCACCUGUUACGAGUGAACUCUUUCUUCCUCUUUCUAUUUCAAUAUUCGUAGUCAAAUAAUUUUAACCACUAAGAAAUUGAGAAAGUAUACUCAUCUCUUACAAAAAAAAAAAGAGUGACAAGGAGAAGGCAAGGAUAUUCCAUCAACGAAUUGAACAGCAGCCGCUAUGUCACAACUCAAGAAAUUCUUCGAUUGCAAUCCCUUUCUGCUCUUAUAUUUACUCUCUUCUUCCUAUCUAACUAAUGGCCGGUGAUAUUAACAGAGCAAUUUUUAUUACUGACAGAACAGAUACAUUGAACCUGAUCAUAUUCACAAAGCAAAUUUGAUCAGAUUCAAUGCAUCUACUCUGUCAAUAACAAAAAUUGUUCUGUUAAUACCAACCCUUUUUACUUAAGACUACCAAUUACUAAAUUGAAUCUCAUCAUUAUUCAAAAAGCAACAUUAACCAAAUUCAACUCAUCUACUCGAGUCAAUAAAAAUAAUAUUGCUCUAUUUAUGUCUUUGGCCUUUAUGAAAAUGUGCAUGCUACUCUUGGUUCAAUCAAACUAAUCUGUACUCGUCCAUUCUACAUGGGCAUAAAAUAUCGUGUGUAUAGCAUUUUUCUUCUGAAAGAGCAAUUGCCCACAAGCAUUUAUGUGCACACCAAUUAGAUGAGGUUGUCUGCCUGUACUGGCCCUAGCAUUUUAGUAAAAUAUAGCUUCAUGAUGUAGUGGGUCUAGUAUUUUCCUUACUACAGAGAAUCGCUAAAGUCAUGUGCAUCUACAUGCACAUUAAUGUGCACGUACAUGAGGUGGUGUUCUCUUAUUUGGUAGUUAGUGAUUCACAGGUUUGCGAGUAGAGGUGUCAAAUAGGCCAAGUGGCCUGUAGGCCAAUAGAACUAGGCACAAUCAUAUGCAUGUCAAACCUGCACCUUUUGUUUUCUAUUAUUUUUCUUCAUAUAAUAUAAUUAAAACUGUUCAAAUUUCAAAUGAUUUUUUAAAAAACUAUCUAAUAACUAUCUAAAACUUAUCUCAAGUAAAAAUAACUAUAUACUUUUUAGAAAACAAAUAUUAAAAAAACAAAUUAAAAAUUUAUAAGAUUUGAAAAAUAGAAAAAGGUUUGGAUGGCCUGGCCUGUCCUGGCCUCCCAUCCCUAUUGGGCCUCCUGGAAACUAGACAAAGCUACUUUGGAACUUCAUCCCUCCACUAAGUAGGGACUAGGACCAUGUGUUUUUUUUAAUCUUGGACCAAAAUGGCCCUUCGACAACCAAAUUCUUAUGGUUGUACGUGGGUAUUUUAGUUUUUUAUUUAUUUUAAAUUUUAGAAAAUUCUUUAAAACAUCAAAAAAAAUUAAAAAUUAAAGAAUCGACAUGGAGCUCAGCCAGGCCCCACAUGACUUAGCCCGACCUGAGCUGGGGGGCCGUGGUUGGCCAUCGUUUCGAGAAAUAAGACCUAACCUAGCUCGGCACUACACGAAUAUAGGGCCAUGUCGUGUCGGACUAGCCGCUAGCUCAUUUCAGCCCAAGUACAUAUGGAUCGUGCCUACAUUACACCCUUAGAUGCAACCCUGAUUCUACUAAUCUACUAGCUUCUAGCUCUACAUGCACAUAAAGUCUUUGUGGCGUAGCAUUUUUGAGAUUUCAUUAAAGUUAGUCUUCGUAGCACAGCAUUUUCAAGAUUUUAUUAACGUCCAUCUCUUGUUACCCCUUAUGAUCCUAAGAUGCUCUUUUGCAAGGCCACCACACAAAUAAUCAAUAUUAAUAAAAACCACCAACCAAAUGCACCUAAUGUUGAUCCAUAUAGCACUACAUUCCUUAGAUAUAUUAUUAAAAUCUAACAUUGCUAUAAGAGCAAACACCACACUAUGACAUUGACCAAAAUCAAAUUGCAAGUCCCUUGUACAAGAGAAAAUAUCCCUACCAACUAUACUAGCAGUCAAAAACCUUGAGACAAUAUCAUUUCACCAAUCAAAAGGUACAUAUUGACAUUCUACCUUUCUCAAUUCUUUCUCAGUGAUUGCAAGCUCAACUUUUAAAACAAAUUCUCUCUCAAAUGCAAAAGUUUGUCUAGAGAUCAAAGCUUUCUUCAUCUAAAUUCCCAAAAUAAUGCUACUAUCUUAUACAUUUGCAGCAUUAUUGACAAUAUUAUAUCCUUAUUUGGUCUAUUACAUGUUAAAUCUAGGCUCCUGAGUUCUUUACCAUGAAAAAGAUUCCCAUUAUACUUUCAAAUCAUUUGCAGAUACAUUAUAACCUUAAAAAUACAUAUGUAAAUACAAAUAUACAAGCACUCUUCUUUGCAGAUAUAAACAAUUAAGUUACUAUAGAUAAAAACGAACUACAGUUGUCAUCACAAAAAUAUACAUAAAUAUACAUAACAAUUCCUCGACUGCUAGCACAGUUGGUAAGAAUACUUUCCUAAGUACCAGAGAUUCACAAUAUAAUUUCCAUCAAUGCCAAAGAACGAUGAGCACCCCCACCAUAGUAUGCGAACUUACCUAUUAUAAUGACUUAACAAUCAUUACUAAAAGCUCACUAGUCACUAGAGACCUAGAACUGACCACAAAAGCCUAUUCUAUACAAAUACACAAUUCUUGCUAUAAGCUACAACUAUCUACAGGAAAUGUCGCAUCACUAACAAGUAACAACUACAUAGUACGUGCUAUACAAUCCCUAGUUCAUAUCUAAGAAAGAGAAAGAGUUGUCUUAUCCUAUGUAGGAGAACUCAACCUUGAUUAUUAGACCUACUUACAAUGGACUAUGCAUUUGAGAAAAGGAAAUAAACAUAGAAAAAUCCAAUUAAAAUCAUAUGUUGCUCUUUAUAUCAUGCAUUUAUCAACAAUCUGAUAUGAGAUACACCAAACAACAUCUCUUAAACAAAUAGAAAAGUAAUCCCUAAAUAUUUAUAUUUUCCGAAAUGUUCGUCAACUGCGCCUACUCUUAUGUCCAAGGUACACAUAGUUAAAAGCACUAUGAAUGAUUGUGGUGCGAUUGAAGUACCAAUCGAUCAUUGCUCCUUGUUAGACUAAAUGGCCUUUCUAAAAGUGCUCAAGUCUUCAUCUACAGGUAUAAGAGUUGCUAUAAAAAUACUGAUAACAAAAUAAAAAGUUUGCAGAAGGUCCCUCAACUUGUUUGCAAAAACGCGGGCCCUCAUUACAGGGAGCUAAAUGGAUAGUAUAUCUUCAUUUAGGAUUGAGAAAAGUUUCAAUUUGCCCCUUGUGGUUUAGCAUUUUUUUAGAUGGUACUCUGCGGUUUGAAAUAUUUCACUUUGCUACCCGGUGGUUUUACUUUUAUUUCGCUGUUAAAACCUAUCAUUAAGUAAGAUACUAAAGUAAUAAAAUUUAUAAACCACAGGAUACUAAAAAAAUAAAUUUUACAAACCACAAGGUGGCAAUUAUAGCAUUUUACCAAUCUAUAUUUUCAUAUAGUUACCUUGCGGUUUGUAAAAUAUAUCAAUUUAAUACCCUACUUAACAACGGGUAUUAAUGGCAAGACAAAAGUAAAACCUUAGGAUAGUAAAGUGAAACACGUAAAACCACAUAAGCCAAAUUGAAAACGUGUAAAUCACAGGGGGCUAAGUUGACGCUUUUUCCUUUAGGAUUUUCAACAGCUUAGAGAACCAAUAUGAUUGUGACUUGUUACUUCACAUUUUCACUGGCUUGUGACUUGUUACUAUUCAACAGGAAUUGAGAAAGUGGUAACAAGGUCCUGAGAGGGCAUAAAUAUAAUUUAUGUUCAUCAGUUGAACAGUCCAUAAUCAACUAAGAAAAUGAAGGACUCUACCUUGAUUGCAAUGGAAAAAAAAAAAAAAACACUUUUCUUCACAAAAAAUAUGUAUAUAUAUAAAUAUAAAACUUUGCAAUGGAAUUACAGUGUCUAACCAGAUUUUAAUUUCAAAAUUCAUACUCUUAUUCUGCAAAAUUCUAACAACCAUGAUCAUUCAAUGAAUAAGUUAGACAUAUAUUCUAAGCUUCUUUUAGCUACAGAAACAAAUAUAUCUUCCUAAAAUCCCAAAAAACAUCUCAAAUAAACUCUGGGCUAUAUUUGAAACAAUGGGUACAUAUAAAACUCAGCAACUUUUGCAGGGUACAUAGGCAAUUACCUGUAAUUAGAAAAAGGGCAUCAAUACAUAACUAAAUAGUAACAACCAAAAUCCAACCCAAAACCCCCCCAUUAAAUAAGAUCUUGAAGCUCAUCAGCUCACAUUCUUAUUCUAACUAUUCAAAUCACAAGAAAAAUCAAGGAUUAAGCACCAUACACAAAAUCAAACCUCAAAUAUUCAACCCAAGUCUCUGAAAAAAAAAAAAUCAAUGAAAUUACUAACUCACCAAAUACCCUGAACACACUGACAUCAAAAAAUACCAUCAAUUUUUGUGAGCAAAGGGUGAAGAUAUGAUGUUGUGAAGGGAAAAUAGGAUGGUUUUAAAGCAACAGAGAGAAGAAGAGAGAGAGAGAGUGAAUGAAACAAGAGUGGGGGUGUAGGUUCAAAAACAAAGCAGGAUUUUGGGAAAUGGGGAGUGGUUUUCUGAAACCACUGUCAGGCAGCCCCUGUUUCUCUGAAUCAACUGUCGGUGGUUGACAGAACAAUGAUUCAGAUUCUUAUACUUUUUCUUUUUAUGGCAGGAAGUGUUAAAAUUUCCAUGUGACAUCAAUCUACAUGCAUUCAUGCAAUGUACAAAUAUCUCAAUAAUAUAUAUUGCAUGGAUUGAGAGAGAAUAUAUGUAAAAAGAAAUUAAAAAAUAAAAUCAAAAUAAGCACUCAGACUAAUACAAAUUAUGAAACAGUAAGCUAAUAAACAAAUAUUUUGGAGGGUGUGAAUUUGCAAUUUCAUCUAAUAUUAAAGUUAUUAUAUUUAGAUGUUGUUAAACAAGGUAGAGCAGUU
rnacentral:lncRNA from 1 species